GUUUCUGCAAAGAAAUACCAAAAGUCAUGAACAUGUUAAUUUUAAAAAAGGUACAUAUUGCUGGCAUUACAAACCUCUUUGCAAAAAAUUAAUAAUAAUUUAUAAAAAUUUAUGAAUUUAACAAAAACACAAAAAAAAAAAAAUAAAAUAAAGGAAAUGGGAUAAGAGGUCGAAUUACAGAUGCCACAUGAAAAGAAAUAGUGGAAGAAAAACCAAAGAUAUAUGAGAUGAGAAAUGAAGAUUUUGAAACCGAAGCUAUUUUCAAAUAAUCUUUUUUAAUCAAUGCAUUAUAAAUGAAAUAUCAAUAUAUUAUGCCUGUAAUUUUUUAUCCUUUUAGAUGUUUUUCUUACUGGAAUAAAAUAUUAUUAAUUAGG
ensembl:lincRNA linc-148 ncRNA